GCUUUUUAUUCUGAAAAUUUUAUUUCAACAUUUUCUUCAAGCUCAUAUUUUUGCUAAAUCAUUCAUUUUUUCUUAUGAAAAAAAGUUUUAUGCAUUUUUAGGGUUUCUUUAUUGCACUUAAUAGAAAACUUAUCCUUUUUCAUAUUUAAACUUACAUUUAGAACAUUGCUGCUUAUAUUUAAAUAUCUUUAAACUUGCUUUAAUUCAAAAUUAUUGAGCUUGAUUCACAGAAUGUUUCAACCAAAAAAGUUCUAAAAAACAAAUCUAGAUAUAAAUUAAAAUAAAACAAGGAUAUCAUGCAAAAUUUGAAAUUUUAUGUGAGCUUCAAUUUUAUUUAUUGAAAAUGUACGUUAGAAAAGGAAGGGGAGAGUGGAAAGUAGAAAUGAUAUACUAUCGGUGAGAAAAAUAAUGUGUGUGUUGCAUUAACAAAGAUUUAAAUUUUCAACUAACUUUUAUAAUCUGGAACAAAAAGAAAAUAGUCUACUGAUGGAAAAUUAGUAAUUUUCAGAAAUUCCAUUUUUUAAUGAAAUUUACUGAAAGUUCUCUGCUGGCUGGAUUCUAGAUGUCACCAUUUAAAUAAUAAUAAUUGUGUCUUACUGUAGAAUGUAAAAAAAAAUCUUGUGCUAAGCUAUUAUAAAACACAAAAUGAUAUAAAUAAUUGUGCGCAUAUGUAUACAGUGUAUAUCAACUUUUAUUUUCAUCACAGACUAUCACUUCAUAUGUGUGUGAGGAAAUUGAACCUGGAAUAAAAAGAUAUUUUAUUGUUAUUAGAAGAAAUGAAAAGCAGUGGAAAGCUUACAUGGGGCACACUGAUUUUUCUAAUUUAGAAGAAACUGGAAAUGACAGUGUUAAAAUACAUCAGAAGAAUGAAACUCAAGAAGUAGCAUUGAUCUCAACAUAUAAUCUGUUCCUAGCUCGCCUACUUUUGCCAAUAAGUCUGCCUCAUCAGGAUUAUCGGUCUGUCCCCUGCCAACAUCUCCUGUGGCUACUGCAGCUGGCAAUACUGUCCGUCCAGUUACCGCUUUUGUACCUCGUCAAAGGUUUUUUCUGAUGAUGGUUAAAGAUAAAAAUUGAAUUCCAGGUUCAAAGAGAACAAGGAGAUCAGAAGUAGAAACAGCCAUGAGAGAGGAAAAAUGUGCAAUUAAAGAAAGGAGUAUUGUCGAUGGAGAAUUUUUGCCCCAAGCAUUUACAUUCCCCGGAACUCUGCUGUUUCAAAUCAACUGAGAAGUUCUUAGCAUUCUCUGUAUAGAUCUGAUAUAGUUCCAUGCAAUAAUCAAUUGUUUGGUCACCUGAAGAAAUGCUACCAUGUUUUUUAUACAGUGAAAAAAAGCCUUGCUUAGGAAUCUGCAGAGAGAUUUUAGAAAGAGUAUUGAAUAAUUUAAUGCAACGUACGAAUAUUUGCUUAGACUACUUAAGGCUUCUUUUCUGAAUGACACUGUGUUGCAAUUUUCUGCUGAUAUCAAUACAAAAACUAACAUCUCAUGUACUAAUUCAUUUUUAUCUCACCCCGUUUUUUUGUUCUUUCAAAAUUUUGCUUUAUUUCUUAUACAUCUUACUUUCCUUUUGAGCUUUAAAAUAAAAUUUUAUGAACUUGA